UCCGUAGGUGAACCUGCGGAAGGAUCAUUACCGAGUUCUCGAGCUUCGGCUCGACUCUCCCACCCUUUGUGAACACACCUCUGUUGCUUUGGCGGCUCUCGCGGGCCGCCAGAGGACCUUAAAACUCCAGUCAGUAAACGUUGACGUCUGAUAAACAAGUUAAUAAACUAAAACUUUCAACAACGGAUCUCUUGGUUCUGGCAUCGAUGAAGAACGCAGCGAAAUGCGAUAAGUAAUGUGAAUUGCAGAAUUCAGUGAAUCAUCGAAUCUUUGAACGCACAUUGCGCCCCUUGGUAUUCCGGGGGGCAUGCCUGUUCGAGCGUCAUUACAACCCUCAAGCUCUGCUUGGUAUUGGGCUCCGUCCGCGCAAGCGGACGCGCCUCAAAGACCUCGGCGGUGGCUCUGGCCCUCAAGCGUAGUAGAAUACACCUCGCUUUGGAGCGGUUUGGAGUCGCCCGCCGGACGAACCUUCUGAACUUUUCUCAAGGUUGACCUCGGAUCAGGUAGGGAUACCCGCUGAACUUAAGCAUAUCAAUAAGCGGAGGA
rnacentral:rRNA from 1 species